GAAAAACAUUCGUUGAACAGAUGUCCUUAGGGUCGGCGCUUUUAUCUCUGAAAGGAAGAACACUUGGAAAGGAAGCUGCGUGUUUUUCCUCUUGCCCGGAAGAGCCAGCCUGUAUGUCUCCCUUUUGACCCGAGGCCAAGCGCCUGAAGCCUCUUGGACUUAGUUAACAUUAGUCCGUUUUCUAUGCGUUUGUCCUUGGCUUGGUUUAUGGUGUUUGUUGAAAGAGAUGGGGUCUCUUCUGUUUUCCCAUGAUGGUCUCCAACUGCUGGUCUCAAGUGAUCCUUCUGCCUCAGCCUCCCAAAGUGCUGGUAUGACAGGUGUGAGCCACUGUACCCAGCCUAAUUUAUGCUGUUUGAAGACACUGAAGAGGACGCUGUGUUUCUCCCCACCCUACACAUGUG
rnacentral:lncRNA from 1 species